GGUGAGUUGGUUCCCAUUCCAAAUUGUGUAUGUGGGCAACGUUUGAAGCUACAAACAUCGUGGACUAACGAUAAUCCUGGCAGAAGAUAUUGGGAAUGUUGUUUUGAAAAUGGAGGUCAAAGGUGUGGUUUUGUUAGAUGGCAUGAUGCUCCAAUGUGCGCAAGGUCAAGAAAAAUUAUUCCUGGACUAUUGAGAAGGAUCAACCGUAAUGAAGAAGAGAUCGCAAAGCUGAAAAUGAGGCUACAAGGAUCUAGAGGAGGAAACAAUGGUGGACAGUGCAAGUGCAAGGGUAUUAGGAUAUUAUCAGUGGUCUGCAUUCUCUUAUUUGUAGUGUUAUGUGUACUUAUAGCAAUGAUUGUCCCUAGUGGAAACAAGAACCUUAUGUUGGGCAGUAGUUCUGGUUAUUGAAUAGCAUUGUACUUAUGACAAUUGUGUUUCAAAAGGAAUGACUUUGCAAUGAAAAUCUAGUUCUGGAUAA